GGGAUAUGAUGAGUGGUCAAUGCUCGCAUUUAAAAAUGCGAGAAGGGGUGUCCGCCUAAAGCCUGUUACGACAAUUGGGCAUCUCAACUCAGUACCAUCUGAUCCC